rnacentral:tRNA from 1 species
GGCGGCUUAGAUGUUUUGCAUGGGGCAGCUAAGCCGUUGAUUUCAGGAAGGCCCAAAACGAUGCCUUUUGAAGAAUUUCCUUUAUAUUUCAACGCUUGCCGUGGGAUUGCAAAUCCGUGGAGACCGGUUCAAUUCCGGUACCCGCCUCCA